UACGUAGGGUGCGAGCGUUAAUCGGAAUUACUGGGCGUAAAGCGUGCGCAGGCGGUCUGUUAAGUCGGACGUGAAAUCCCUCGGCUCAACCGGGGAACUGCGUCCGAUACUGGCGGGCUUGAAUUCGGGAGAGGGAUGUGGAAUUCCAGGUGUAGCGGUGAAAUGCGUAGAUAUCUGGAGGAACACCGGUGGCGAAGGCGGCAUCCUGGACCGACAUUGACGCUGAGGCGCGAAGCCAGGGGAGCAAACGGG
rnacentral:rRNA from 1 species